GACGAACGCCGGCGGCGUGCUUAACACAUGCAAGUCGAACGGAAAGGCCCUGCUUGCAGGGUACUCGAGUGGCGAACGGGUGAGUAACACGUGGGUGAUCUGCCCUGCACUUCGGGAUAAGCCUGGGAAACUGGGUCUAAUACCGGAUAGGAGCCAUUUUUAGUGUGAUGGUUGGAAAGUUUUUUCGGUGUAGGAUGAGCUCGCGGCCUAUCAGCUUGUUGGUGGGGUAAUGGCCUACCAAGGCGGCGACGGGUAGCCGGCCUGAGAGGGUGGACGGCCACAUUGGGACUGAGAGACGGCCCAGACUCCUACGGGAGGCAGCAGUGGGGAAUAUUGCACAAUGGGCGCAAGCCUGAUGCAGCGACGCCGCGUGGGGGAUGACGGCCUUCGGGUUGUAAACUCCUUUCGCUAGGGACGAAGCUUUUUGUGACGGUACCUAGAUAAGAAGCACCGGCUAACUACGUG
rnacentral:rRNA from 1 species